rnacentral:piRNA from 1 species
UCCUCACGAAUAUGAAGGAGAGAGUUUA